GCGCCUGUGGCGGAAUUGGUAGACGCGUUGGACUUAGGAUCCAAUGAUUCAGGUCGUGCAGGUUCGAGUCCUGUCAGGCGCA
rnacentral:tRNA from 1 species